CACGUAGGGGGCAAGCGUUGUCCGGAUUUAUUGGGCGUAAAGAGCUCGUAGGUGGCUGAGUAAGUCGGGUGUGAAAACUCCAGCUCAACUUGGAGACGCCACCCGAUACUGCUCUGACUUGAGUUCGGUAGGGGAGUGGGGAAUUCCUGGUGUAGCGGUGAAAUGCGUAGAGAUCGGAAAGAACACCAACGGCGAAAGCACUCUGCUGGGCCGACACUGACACUGAGAGACGAAAGCUAGGGGAGCGAAUGGG
rnacentral:rRNA from 1 species